UCCGUGACAAUCUCACAAAAAAUGAGAGGCAGGCCAUUGCCAAAUUUGCGUCAGCGUGAUGAUAUCGUCUAUUCAGCUGAUAAAGGCUCUGACAUUAAAUCCUAUGAACAGGAGUCCCUAAAUACAAAAAAAAAAAACCCACCAUGGUUGGGGCUAAGAUGUCAAGUAAGACUGGAACCAACUAAGCACUAUGUUGGCAAAUCAACUGAUGCGAGCCAGAGCCUCAUAAGUAAGAUGGAAUGAUUGUGUCAAAUGCGGAUGAUAGAUCAAGGUAGAUUGAUAAUACACAACAAUAAUAAUAAUAUGUCGGUCUUAUAUAGUGCUUCAUGCAUGAACCCUCUAAGCGCCUUACAUUACUACCCCCUCAUUGGAGCAAACACGUAUGGAACACAUACUCAGCUCCCUGGGGAGAAUUCCAUAAUAUAGCAGCUAGUAAUCAGCCCAGUUGUGUUCAAAUCUACUAGGUACCCACUUAAUUGUACAAUCACCUCUAUUAAGUGCAAGCUCAUUAAAUCGUUGUGAACUUUGAAAAAAGCCAUCUCUCGGUCUUACGGAACUUCCUAUGCAGAUUGAGGGUUGAACAAGUUAUUAUCAUCCAGAAAACAAAUUAAAUCCAAAGCAAAUUUCUCAAUGUGUUUGGAAAUAAAGGCAAUGUUGGACGGAAAUUACCAAUAACAUUAUGAUCAAGCAAAGCUUUUUUAAAAGUGAUCUGACAAUACCAUUUUUUAAAAUCAUCAGAAAAAUUGGAGACGAAAGGGAAGCUUUAAUCAUGCUAUGGAACACAGGAACCACGAUGUUGCGGAAUCGAAAUAAGAUGUCAGUUGAGUUGAAGAUAAUGAUGAGGUGCACUUCGCUGUUGGACAAGCAUAUAUUGAACUUUUAUAAACAACAAUUCAACAAGACCUGGAGAUCUAGGCAAUUAAAAAAUUAAAAUCAAAAAGUAUUAAAAAGUUAAUUUAUAAAUCAAGUAAAUCACUAUAAAAUAAAAAAAGUGACAAAGUAAUAUGUCUAAAAACGAAAAAAAAA